rnacentral:rRNA from 1 species
AGUGAACGCUGGCGGUAGGCCUAACACAUGCAAGUCGAACGGCAGCACAGUAAGAGCUUGCUCUUACGGGUGGCGAGUGGCGGACGGGUGAGGAAUACAUCGGAAUCUACUUUUUCCUGGGGGAUAACGUAGGGAAACUUACGCUAAUACCGCAUACGACCUACGGGUGAAAGCAGGGGAUCUUCGGACCUUGCGCGAUUGAAUGAGCCGAUGUCGGAUUAGCUAGUUGGCGGGGUAAAGGCCCACCAAGGCGACGAUCCGUAGCUGGUCUGAGAGGAUGAUCAGCCACACUGGAACUGAGACACGGUCCAGACUCCUACGGGAGGCAGCAGUGGGGAAUAUUGGACAAUGGGCGCAAGCCUGAUCCAGCCAUACCGCGUGGGUGAAGAAGGCCUUCGGGUUGUAAAGCCCUUUUGUUGGGAAAGAAAAGCAGCAGGUUAAUACCCCGCUGUUCUGACGGUACCCAAAGAAUAAGCACCGGCUAACUUCAUG